ensembl:misc_RNA Y_RNA Y RNA
UGCUGCUCUGAGUGCAGUGGUUUCUACAAUUGAUAGAUCACAACCAGUUACAGAUUUCCUUGUUCCUUCUCCACUCCCACUGUUUCACUUGACUAGCCAAAA